ACCUAGUGAUGUGGACAUUUAUGGAGCAAGUCCCUAAAGCGCUCCUCGGUCUCAAAAAAGAGUUCCCCAUCAAUCUGUGAGAAACUUGUGAUGGCUUUACAAAGCU